GAUGAACGCUGGCGGCGUGCUUAACACAUGCAAGUCGAACGGUGAACGAGGGAGCUUGCUCCCUCCGGAUCAGUGGCGAACGGGUGAGUAACACGUGAGCAAUCUGCCCUGGACUCUGGGAUAAGCGUUGGAAACGACGUCUAAUACCGGAUACGAGGCGUGGGGGCAUCCCCAACGCCUGGAAAGAACUUCGGUCCAGGAUGAGCUCGCGGCCUAUCAGCUAGUUGGUGAGGUAACGGCUCACCAAGGCGACGACGGGUAGCCGGCCUGAGAGGGUGACCGGCCACACUGGGACUGAGACACGGCCCAGACUCCUGCGGGAGGCAGCAGUGGGGAAUAUUGCACAAUGGGCGCAAGCCUGAUGCAGCAACGCCGCGUGAGGGACGACGGCCUUCGGGUUGUAAACCUCUUUUAGCAGGGAAGAAGCGAAAGUGACGGUACCUGCAGAAAAAGCACCGGCUAACUACGUGCCAGCAGCCGCGGUAAUAC
rnacentral:rRNA from 1 species